GAGUAACACGUGGGUAACCUGCCCAUCAGAAGGGGAUAACACUUGGAAACAGGUGCUAAUACCGUAUAACAAUCGAAACCGCAUGGUUUCGGUUUGAAAGGCGCUUUUGCGUCACUGAUGGAUGGACCCGCGGUGCAUUAGCUAGUUGGUGAGGUAACGGCUCACCAAGGCAACGAUGCAUAGCCGACCUGAGAGGGUGAUCGGCCACAUUGGGACUGAGACACGGCCCAAACUCCUACGGGAGGCAGCAUG
rnacentral:rRNA from 1 species